CAGGUUGCUACGGACUGCUACCCUUGUCUGCUGCACUGAAUAUAGAACACCUAAUUCCCUAAAGAGUGAAAAUGAGGAUCUAAAGAUUUUAUACAAGUGUGAGCUGGAAAACGAGGAGCUUAAGAUAAGAGCCAACGACCGGGAGGAGGAGGACGCACGGCAGCGUCAGAAUCAGCGCGUCGGAUCCGGCCGAGGCUUACGUCGACACGGAUGCGGAGGCUCUAGCUGCAGCCGCCGCGCUCUAUGCCCCGCCCCUGCUCGCCGAGCCCUGCCUCUCUGGAUCUCCAGCAAUGGAGGUCGCUUCUGGCAUGUUCCGCAAGUUCAAAACGAAGAAGAUCUCUGUUUGCACAGCCCUUCAGGGGAACAAAUGGAUUUCUGCACUCCGUCAGGUCAACACCACCGAGUUAGUUCAUGAAUCCAUCAAAUUAUGGUUGUUGAUCAGAGAGGUGCAAAUACCACAGGCCAAGAUGUCGUCUCCUGGUGUUGGACAACAGAUGGAAUGUAUAUGACGUGCUCAACCUACAAGGCAAUGUUCUGGGGCUCUUACUCGAGCACUUGCUCUCGAACUUUCUGGAAGGCUUUGGCUGAAAACAAAGUAAAAAAUUUCUGUUGACACCCGUCGCUUGGGAGGAUUCUGACCGCGGACAAGCUGAUCCAGAGAGGAUGGCAAGGAAGCGAGAUUUGUUCGAUGUGCAGUUCACAGGAGGAGUCAGUGGAGCAUCUUCUUCUGAACUGUUAUUUUGCUCACCAAGUUUGGAGGAGGAUCGCGGCUUGGUCUUGUUUCGAUUCGAGACAUUAUGACGUGAAGAUGGCCUCCGGGAGGGCACGGUGUACUCCUGGUGGCUGGAGCGAGCCUGCCAAAUCCUUACGACCAACCAGCGAAAGUUUGAUGGGACUGUUGCUUACACAAAAAAAACUUUUCAAAGAAAGCUCUUCAAAAAUGUUCUUCUUCAAAGAAAUGCACUGAUUUUCAUAAAAAUAGUAACUAUUCUUAAAAAAGUGUUCCAGUUUUUAUGAAAAUGCUAACUUUUAAAUAAGGAAUUUUCCGCAUUUUUCAGAAAAGCAAAAAGAAAAUGACAG